CCUACGGGAGGCUGCAGUGGGGAAUAUUGCACAAUGGGGGAAACCCUGAUGCAGCGACGCCGCGUGAGUGAUGAAGUAUAUAGGUAUGUAAAGCUCUAUCAGCAGGGAAGAUAAUGACGGUACCUGACUAAGAAGAUUCGGGUAAAUACGUGCCAGCAGCGGUGGUAAUACGGAUGGAGCAAGCGUUAUCCGGAUUUACUGGGUGUAAAGGGGGCGCAAACGGCAGGGCAAGUCUGAUGUGAAAGCCCGGGGGUCAACCCCGGGACUGCAUGUGAAACUGUCCGGCUAGAGUGCAGGAGAGGUAAGUGGAAUUCCUAGUGUAGCGGUGAAAUGCGUAGAUAUUAGGAGGAACACCAGUGGCGAAGGCGGCUUACUGGACUGUAACUGACGUUGAGGCUCGAAAGCGUGGGGAGCAAACAGGAUUAGAUACCCGGGUAGUC
rnacentral:rRNA from 1 species